rnacentral:rRNA from 1 species
CCUACGGGGUGCUGCAGUGGGGGAUAUUGCACAAUGGGGGAAACCCUGAAGCAGCAACGCCGCGUGGAGGAUUAAGGUUUUCGGAUUGUAAACUCCUUUUGUUAGAGAAGAUAAUGACGGUAUCUAACGAAUAAGUACCGGCUAACUCCGUGCCAGCAGCCGCGGUAAUACGGAGGGUGUAAGCGUUACUCGGAAUCACUGGGCGUAAAGAGCGCGUAGGCGGGAUAGCAAGUCAGAUGUGAAAUCCUAUGGCUUAACCAUAGAACUGCAUUUGAAACUGUUAUUCUAGAGUAUGGGAGAGGUAGGUGGAAUUCUUGGUGUAGGGGUAAAAUCCGUAGAGAUCAAGAGGAAUACUCAUUGCGAAGGCGACUUACUGGACUGUAACUGACGCUGAGGCUCGAAAGCGUGGGGAGCAAACAGGAGUAGAUACCCCAGUAGUC